rnacentral:lncRNA from 1 species
CAGUGUAUCCCACUGAGGCCCCUCGGUCGCUCCCACUCGUCGUGCCCUCACCUAGUCAGGUCCCGCAGCCGCGCCUCCUCCCCGCGCAGGCUCCUCGGAAUGCGUGGGGGCUUCCUGCAACAUCAGUCUCCGCCGCCCUCCACUAAAUCGCGACCCUGGGAAGGUGUUUCCACUGUGCCCAUCACACUAGGGGAAAUUGAGGCGGAGGCAGGGGUGCGCAGGCAAAGAGCGGCAAGAGGACAGCUGGGAGGAAAACCCUCACAGAGAGCGUGACAUCUGAGCCAUCUGAAGGAUAAGUAGGACUGUGUCAGGAUGUAUCAUGCUGGCUUCAGCAGGUAGAGCUGAUGGGAGGAGGUAAGACAGGAAGGAACUGCAUAGUCCAGGUAAAUUGCAACAGAAGGAACAGUGCAUCAGUUCUGAGCCUAGGUGUCCAGAGGCCUUGCAUGCUUUGGCUCUCUCUUUUGGGGCUCUGCCCAGGCACCCAGGGAACACCCUGGGCUAGCCUGCUGGAGUGUGAGAGAUCAUGUGCAGCAGUGCUCAGCCAACCCAGCCGAGGCCAUCAGAAAUUAGCCAGCACCCAGUCAACUUGGCAGCUGACCACCAACAGAGAAGUGGACUCACUCAAGACCAGAAGAAAUAUCCAGCUGACCUCAGUCAAAACUGCUAACCCACACAAUAGUGAGAUAUAUAAAUAGCUGCCGUUUUAAGCCACUAAGUGUUGGGGUAAUUUGUUUUGCAGCAAAAGUAGACUGAUACAGAAAUUGGUGUCCGAAAGUGAGAUGUUAGGCCAUUAACAAUACCCUAAAAUUUGUGACAUUAGCUUUGAGAUUGGGAGUGGUUGGAAACUGGGAAAAUGGCAAGAGCAAACAUAUUGAAGUCUGGGGAAAUGAUGGGAAAUUAUUACUAGAGGCUGGAAAAACAGUAAUCUGUGUUUCAUAGUGGCACUUUGUAAAGACCUCUGCAAGAAUUAAAGUGAUGUCUAGUCGACCUCUAGACAAAAAAAAACCUUCUUGGAAACUUAAGAGUGAGAUCCCACAGAAGCCCAAUUCAAAAAUACCAGUAAUAAAAUCUAGAGAGAUGUCACAAAACAGUUGUGUCAUUUGGAGUAUGGAAUAGACUGAAAUUAUUCAAACUACCAAUUAUUCAGCUACCAACAUGGGCCACAUCUUCAGAAGUAGCCAAGGAAGGUGACAGACAAGGAAUAUGUUCCAAAGGGUAUAGUCAAGAGCCGCAGAGAUCAGUGGAGCAGGAACCCCCUCCCAGGGAGUAAACUCUAGACCUGAGCAAGAAAUACACCCUCUCCUGGGAUAGUGAGACUUGUAAACCUUUGCCCAGCUGGAGUUCAGAAUUGCUAUGUGUCUCUCAUUCUUCCCUUUUUAAUUUUGUUUUGUUUUGUUUUUGUUUUUUGAGACAGAGUCUUGCUCUGUUGCCCAGGCUGGAGUGCAGUGGUGUGAUCUCGGCUCACUGCAACCUCCCCCUCCCGGGCUCAAGUGAUUCUCCUGCCUCAGCUGCCCAAGUAGCUGGGACUACAGGUGUGCUGCCCAAUGCCUGGCUAAUUUUUGUAAUUUUAGUAGGUUGGUCUUGAACUCCUGUCCUCAAGUGAUCUGCCUGCUUCAGCCUCCUAAAGUGCUGGGAUUGUAGGCGUGAGCCACCGUGACCGGCGUUCUUCCCUUUUUUAAAUGGAUUAAGAAGAACAACAUCCAUAAUGUCACAUACAAACCUGAUGUGAACCACAAGAUCCUGGUCUUCAAGCCUGAUGACAUAAUUGCAAGAGGUGUUUGGGGGUCUUGGAAUGGUGGCAUCCCCCAUCAAGAGGUGGAGGGAGACUAUUUCUCCUCCCCUUAAACCUGAACUGACAUCAUGACAUUUUUGGCCAAUGGAAUGCAGCAGAGAGAUGGUACAAAUUCUCUGUCUAAGCCUCAACAUGCAUCGCACAUCUCAGCUCUUUUUUUUGAAGUCCUGUCCCACUACUCAUAUGAAAUGACCUGAGCUAGCCUGCUGGAGGACAAGAGAUCACAUGGAAUAGAGAUGAGCCAUCCCAGCGGAAGUUAUUCUACAUUAUCCAGGAACCAGCCAAUUUAGCAGCUGGCCUCAGACCCAUGAAUAAACUCAGCCAAGACCAGGUGAACAACUCACCUGGGCUUAGCACAAAUGUUGACUUGCA